GAAUUUACUCUAUAUUCAUUCAUCAGUGAUAUCUGGGAGCCUAUUCCCUGGGAGAUAGCUGCAGAGUUUCAGAAUAUGAUCAUCCUAUUUGAAUCGGGCAAGUGCAUUGUUGUACAAGAGCAUGUUAUUUGUGGCCUACCUAACCUGAAGGGAGAUCACAUUUAAUUCCUAGGAAUGGAUCGGUACUCAUAGGGGCCAUACUGGAUCUACUAGCAGGGACUAAGAAAUGUGGCAGGUGUCAACGAUGAUCCCACGAUCUGCAUUUCAUAUGUUCCUAGGGUCUGAAUUUGGUUACGAGGAACAUGGUUGCUGCCUAGCUAUGAGUAAAUUAGUGAUCUUUAAUUUUGUAACACUCGUGCCGCUCGUUGCAUUAUGAGACCAUGCAUUUGUAUGUAUAUAUAUAUAUAUAAUACAAAUAUAAAUAUUAUUACUGAUCAUCAAUUAUGUAGUGUUGAGCAUAGGUAAAUGAACAUUGGAGUAUCUGAAAGAUAAAUAUGCUAGAAUCAAACUGAAUAGCCAUAAAACCAAAGUGGCACAAUCAGAUGGCAUGUCAUAGCCAUUCAUCACUACAAAAUUCAUAAUCAUCAUUCAUACUUAUCCUAAUAUGCCAGAUAGUACCAUAAGCUACCAAACUACAAGCACGAUCCCACCUCUCAACCAUCUACCUAUACCCAGCAUUAUAGCAGGAACAAACCCAAGGCUACAGCAAAAAGGCACAAUGGUUAGUUUAGCAUUAUACCUUUAAUCAUCCCUGAUGGACUUUUUAUCCUCUGCCUCUUGAUGUGAUUACUUGACCAUCAUCCCCACAUUAGUGGCUUGUUCCAGAUAUUGCUUCACCUUCUACAGCUCAUUGAGAGUCUAUUUAAGCACCAUGUUAGCUUUUGUGCAUUCUUCCUCCCACAUCCUUACAUUGUUUUCAGCUUUAUGGUUUCUCCUAAUCAACUCCAAGAUGACCUCCCCAAAGGUCUGCCUCUCCAUUGUCUUCCCAUCCCAUGCCUCUCCCAAUUUUUGUUCCCACAUCCUUGCAUCAUUUUUAGAUUUUGACUUCGUGUUCAUCAGCUACAAGUGGUUUCCCCA
rnacentral:lncRNA from 1 species